GAUGAACGCUAGCGGCAGGCUUAAUACAUGCAAGUCGAACGGUAAGUGUAGUAGCAAUACUAUACGAGAGUGACGUACGGGUGCGUAACACGUAUGCAACCUACCUUGUACAGGAGGAUAGCUCGGGGAAACUCGAAUUAACCCUCCAUAAGAUAGUGGUGAGGCAUCUCAUAGCUAUUAAAACUCAGGUGGUACAAGAU
rnacentral:rRNA from 1 species